rnacentral:rRNA from 1 species
AGAGUUUGAUCAUGGCUCAGAUUGAACGCUGGCGGCAUGCCUUACACAUGCAAGUCGAACGGUAACAGGUCUUCGGAUGCUGACGAGUGGCGAACGGGUGAGUAAUACAUCGGAACGUGCCCGAUCGUGGGGGAUAACGGAGCGAAAGCUUUGCUAAUACCGCAUACGAUCUACGGAUGAAAGCAGGGGACCGCAAGGCCUUGCGCGGACGGAGCGGCCGAUGGCAGAUUAGGUAGUUGGUGGGAUAAAAGCUUACCAAGCCGACGAUCUGUAGCUGGUCUGAGAGGACGACCAGCCACACUGGGACUGAGACACGGCCCAGACUCCUACGGGAGGCAGCAGUGGGGAAUUUUGGACAAUGGGCGAAAGCCUGAUCCAGCCAUGCCGCGUGCAGGAUGAAGGCCUUCGGGUUGUAAACUGCUUUUGUACGGAACGAAAAGACUCCUUCUAAUAAAGGGGGUUCAUGACGGUACCGUAAGAAUAAGCACCGGCUAACUACGUGCCAGCAGCCGCGGUAAUACGUAGGGUGCAAGCGUUAAUCGGAAUUACUGG